GUGUGUGGUGGAGGGUGUGAGUAUGGGGUAGAGUAUGUGAGUCUGUUUGGAUGCUUUUUAAAGAGGUCACUGAGUGUGUCAGAUUCAAGCUCACUGCUGAUGAGAGGUGUAAACACAGGAAUGACCAUGACUGACCUGCAGCACCUCUCUCUGACAUUAACUGCGAUGACAGCCGAAACCAUGGCAACCAGACCCAGGGAGAACAGCACUGACUUUAGCGCACACGGUGAGAGGCCAGGAGA